GAUGAACGCUGGCGGCGUGCUUAACACAUGCAAGUCGAGCGAAGCGGUUUCAAUGAAGUUUUCGGAUGGAUUUGAGAUUGACUUAGCGGCGGACGGGUGAGUAACGCGUGGGUAACCUGCCUUACACUGGGGGAUAACAGUUAGAAAUGACUGCUAAUACCGCAUAAGCGCACAGGGCCGCAUGGUCCGGUGUGAAAAACUCCGGUGGUGUAAGAUGGACCCGCGUCUGAUUAGGUAGUUGGUGGGGUAACGGCCCACCAAGCCGACGAUCAGUAGCCGACCUGAGAGGGUGACCGGCCACAUUGGGACUGAGACACGGGCCCAAACUCCUACGGGAGGCAGCAGUGGGGAAUAUUGGACAAUGGGCGAAAGCCUGAUCCAGCGACGCCGCGUGAGGGAAGACGGGUUUUCGGAUUGUAAACCUCUGUUCUAAGUGACGAAG
rnacentral:rRNA from 1 species